UGCGUAGGUGGUUUCUUAAGUCAGAGGUGAAAGGCUACGGCUCAACCGUAGUAAGCCUUUGAAACUGGGAAACUUGAGUGCAGGAGAGGAGAGUGGAAUUCCUAGUGUAGCGGUGAAAUGCGUAGAUAUUAGGAGGAACAUCAGUGGCGAAGGCGGCUUACUGGACUGAAACUGACACUGAGGCACGAAAGACGUGGGGAGGCAAAACA
rnacentral:rRNA from 1 species